rnacentral:rRNA from 1 species
AUGGAUAUCAUGCAGACAAGUGACUCUUCACAUCAUGGAAUUGUAGAAAACAGCCCUUACAGAACUCCCUAUGGUAGACACGUGGAAAGUGGCAACCUUGGUGGUUCAUGGUAUUUUAGUAGAAAAGAAAUCGAGGAGAAUUCCCUUUCAAGGAAAGAUGGCAUUGAUCUGAAGGAGUCUUACCUUCGCAAGUCAUACUGCACCUUUCUUCAAGAUUUUGGGAUGAGACUUAAAGUGCCUCAAGUGACAAUUGCUACAGCUAUAGUAUUCUGUCAUCGUUUUUUCCUUCGUCAAUCUCAUGCCAAAAAUGAUAGACUGACAAUAGCCACAGUUUGCAUGUUCUUGGCGGGCAAAGUUGAAGAAACUCCCAGACCACUUAAGGAUGUCGUACUAAUUUCUUAUGAGAUCAUCCACAAGAAGGAUCCUGCCGCAGUUGCUCGAAUUAAGCAAAAGGAGGUUUAUGAACAACAGAAGGAGCUUAUUUUAAUCGGGGAGCGUGCUGUGCUUAUAACACUUGGUUUUGACAUGAAUGUGCACCACCCGUACAAGCCCUUGGUCGAAGCAAUAAAAAAAUUCAAGGUUGCUCAAAAUGCGCUUGCUCAAGUUGCCUGGAAUUUUGUCAAUGAUGGGCUACGUACUUCGCUUUGUCUCCAAUUUAAACCCAAUCAUAUUACAGCCGGCGCAAUUUUCCUUGCUGCGAAGUUCCUCAAAGUCAAGCUUCCAUCAGAUGGUGAGAAGGUCUGGUGGCAAGAGUUUGAUGUAACGCCGCGGCAGUUGGAAGAGGCCAGCAACCAAAUGUUGGAGCUCUAUGAGCAAAACCGUGUCGUGCCACCACCGUCCCAAGGGAAUGAUACCGAAUGCAGUUCUGCAAGUGUGGUUAAUCCACGUGCUGUGGGGAAGGCUCCUGGAGCUGCUGACGAGCGUCAUGCUCAUGGAAAUCAUCAAGCACCUAAACAGUCGAGCAUGGUAGGCCUCCCUGAGAAGCAAAACUCAAACCAGAGGAUACCCAAGGUGGAAGCAAAGGAUGGUAUUGCCAGCAGCAAUGAAGGCCCCAAUAUGUCAUCCUCAAUGGAUGCAAUGAAAAAGAUAGACAAGGAUAAAGUGAAAGCUGCGCUUGAGAAACGGAGGAAAUCAAAAGGUGAUGCCGGUAGAAAGGUUGACAUCAUGGAUGAUGAUGACCUGAUUGAGAGGGAGCUGGAGCAUGGAGUGGAGAUGGCUGUCAAGGAUGAGAAGAAACACGACAGAAGGCAGAGCUGGCCCCAGCCCCCGCACCAGAACGGUACUCGGACGGCAGAGAACGCCGAGGAGGGCGAGCUCUCCAUGGACAGUCAAGAGUACCUUUCCACCGUGACUGAGCUCGACGACCGGAAGAGGAAGGAUGUGUAUGACCACAGGAGUUAUGAUCACGGCGAGAGGGACCUUAAAAGGGCGAGAUCAUGA